CUCCUGACCUCAAGUAAUCCGCCCGCCUCAGCCUCCCAAAGUGCUGGGAUUACAGGCAUGGGGCACCGCACUUGGGCUAAAGCCUUAAUUCUAAAACAGCAUCUCUAGUGAAAACUGCAGAGUCCACAAUGAUUCUAACCUCUUUCUUUAGGCACAUUAUUAUGGAUUGACUGCAUAUAUUUUUUACUUUAGGCACUUUGCACAGUCACAUGAGAAAUGCUUUGUUAAAUGGCAGGUGAGCGUUAGCCUGGAAGCCUUGGGUAUCUUAUAUUUACAUGCUGCUUUACAGCUUCUGCAGCAACUUCGUCUUUUCUCAUUGGACCUUGAGAACAAUGCAGAGAUUGCAUUGUCCCCCAUGUCAGAGCCAGGAGAUCAGGGGUGCAGACGUGUGAAGUGACCCAUCCUAGAUCCCACCGCUGUUCGCAUUCUCAAGUUUGAGCUUAGAUCCUCUGCUUCCAAGGUUGGUGGAGUUUUCUCACUGGCUUCACGUACUGGUGUUGGUGGAUAAUAGCGUGAUUAAUUUCACUUUCUGUGUCUUACUCCAUGAGCCCUAAUGCUUCUGCUGAGAUUCCUAAUUCAGUGAAACCUGUUUAGGGGAUCAUCUCUGUUAGGCAGACAGCUGCUGAAAAGGCAUUCACUUUCCAAGCAUGGAUUUUAGAUUAUGGCCAAUCAAGACUCCGGCCUGGAAGAACACCUGUCAGAGACGUUUUUCUACAAGGAGAUGGUCUCUUUAAUCAUAUUUCAUUGUACUUCAGAAAAAGGGAGCAAAGUUUGUCAUCUUGAUACACUAGAUCUUUGAUGAUAUCAAUAAGGAAACAUCCACA
rnacentral:lncRNA from 1 species